rnacentral:rRNA from 1 species
AAGAAAGUUAAUAAGGGCGUACGGGGAAUGCCUUGGCUCUCAGAGACGAAGAAGGACGUGAUAAGCUGCGAAAAGUUACGGGGAGGUGCAAAUAACCUUUGAUCCGUAAAUAUCCGAAUGGGACAACCCACUCUAGCAAUAGAGUAUCCGAUUAUGUCGGAGGUCAACCCGCUGAACUGAAACAUCUAAGUAAGCGGAGGAAAAGAAAACAAAAGUGAUUCCCUUAG